rnacentral:lncRNA from 1 species
AAAUAAUUAAGUGCGUUAAAUAAACAAAGGGAAAGAAUGCACCGAUGUAUUCUCGUUCACCACAACACGUGGCUAGUCCAGUCCCCGAGAGACUCUCUCGAGAUUUUUCACUAACUUGUCAAGCUUAUGGGUGCUCAACAAACCUUUGCAACUUGAGGACACAAGCCUCAACACCUUUGCUCGGAGAUACAACACUCCAAGACUUCAACCAAGGAAGCACAAGUUCCAAACCUUUACAACUUAAGGACACAAGCCUUAACACCUUUGCUCGGAGAUACAACACUCCAAGACUUCAACCAAGAAAACACCAGUUCCUUACAACAAGAGAAUUACAAUUCUCUUACAAGUGUAUAAAACA